AUACGGAGGAUCCAAGCGUUAUCCGGAUUUAUUGGGUUUAAAGGGUGCGCAGGCGGAAGAUUAAGUCGGCGGUGAAAUUUUGCAGCUCAACUGUAAAAGUGCCAUCGAUACUGGUUUUCUUGAGUGUGGAUGAAGUAGGCGGAAUUUGUGGUGUAGCGGUGAAAUGCAUAGAUAUCACGAGGAACUCCGAUUGCGCAGGCAGCUUACUAGGCCAUAACUGACGCUCAGGCACGAAGGCGUGGGGAUCAAACAGGAUUAGAUACCCUGGUAGUCCACGCAGUAAACGAUGAUUACUCGCUGUUUGCGAUACACAGUAAGCGGCUUAGCGAAAGCGUUAAGUAAUCCACCUGGGGAGUACGUACGCAAGAAUGAAACUCAAAUGAAUUGACGGGG
rnacentral:rRNA from 1 species